UGGAGCCCUUGUGCUCCAUGAUUUUGUACAUGCUCUUCUCUUUGUUAAGGAUCACUUCUGCCAGCAUACUGCUAUUCUUCCUUCAAAGCUCAGCUCUUCAGAUUGCCCUGCCCACUCUAGGGCAGAGUUAAUCUCUUCUUCUUGUGCACCACAUUGCUUCUUGCGCAUUAGUACUUCAACAUUUUGGGGAAAUUGUCUAUUGUACUGUAUAUCUCUCAUGCUAGGCUUCUCCAUCUUUCCAGAGGUGAGCCACCACCUCAAAACUCAGACUCUGAGUAUUUGUAAAGUGGAUGGAGCUCUAAGCAUUACAGAGAGGAUGUCCUAGGGUCCUUGACCUGGUUCAGGGCUCCAGCUUCCUGCAGUCAUCUUGCUUAAGUUUGCACCAUAGCCUGCCUGCCCUGUGCUUCUCUUAGGGCAGACUCAGAAGGAAGUGCACCUUCCUGAAUUAACUGUUGUCUAGUUAGUAGUGUCCAAGAAAGAGGGUGGGACAUUACAACUCGGGCGACCCAUUUUAUUUUUGGAUGCAAACCAGGUCAGUGGAAUGCCUCACACUGAGAGAGAAGAGCUCACGCCUAAGGAAAGUAACCAACUACUUCUCCCAGGUGGCCACCCUCCAAUGUGGAACCACAUGGACUCCAUUGGGCCAAUAGGGUUGCCGCACAGGGAAGGAGUCCCUGGCUGCUCCCAGGAGGGCUUGCCCUACCCCUCAAACAGCUCUGAGCUGCCUGUUUCUCCCCAGGUGUUGGAGUGUCUACAGCAGUUCAAGGUGACGGGGACACAGCUGCAGCAGAUCCAAGCCAGCCUCCUGGACUCUAUGGAGCAGGCACUGGGGGGUCAGGCCAGCCCUGCCUCUGCUGUCCGGAUGCUGCCCACAUACGUGGGGUCCAUCCCACAUGGCACUGAGCAAGGAGAUUUUGUGGUGCUGGAGCUGGGGGCCACAGGGGCCUCACUGCGUGUUCUGUGGGUGACCCUGAUGGGCACUGGGGGGCAUAGGAUGGAGCCCCGGAGCCAGGAGUUUGUGAUCCCCCCAGAGGUGAUGCUGGGUCCUGGUCAGCAGCUCUUUGACUUUGCUGCCCACUGCCUGUCUGAAUUCCUGGAUGCACUCCCCGUGGGAAAACAAGGUCUACAACUUGGGUUCAGCUUCUCCUUCCCUUGUCACCAGACAGGCCUGGACAGGAGCACCCUUAUUUCCUGGACCAAAGGUUUUAGGUGCAGUGGUGUGGAAGGCCACGAUGUGGUCCAGUUGCUGCGAGAUGCCAUCAAGAGGCAUGGGGCCUACAACAUCGAUGUGGUUGCUGUGGUGAAUGACACAGUGGGCACCAUGAUGGGCUGCGAGCCAGGGGUUGGGCCGUGUGAGGUCGGGCUUGUUGUAGACACUGGCACCAAUGCAUGUUACAUGGAGGAGGCAAGGCAUGUGGCAGUGCUGGACGAGGACCGGGGCCGUGUCUGCGUCAGCGUUGAGUGGGGCUCCUUCGGUGAUGAUGGGGUCCUGGGACCAAUGCUGACCAUCUUUGAUCAUGCUUUGGAUCGAGAGUCCCUGAAUCCUGGUGCCCAGAGGUUUGAGAAGAUGAUUGGGGGCUUGUACCUGGGUGAGCUGGUGAGGCUUGUGUUGGUUCACCUGGCCCAGCGAGGGGUCCUCUUUGGUGGCUGCACCUCCCCUGCCCUGCUGAGCCGAGGUAGCAUCCUCCUGGAGCACGUGGCUGAGAUGGAGGACCCCUGGGCUGGGGCAGCCCGUGUGCAUGCUCUCCUGCAGGACUUGGGCCUGAACGUGGGGGCCUCAGAUGUUGAGCUCGUGCAGUAUGUAUGUGCAGCUGUGUUUACUCGGGCUGCCCGGCUCUGUGCUGCCGCCCUGGCUGCUGUUCUCUCUCGCCUCCAGCACAGCCGGGAGCAGCAGAUACUUCAGAUUGCUGUGGCCACCGGAGGCCGAGUAUUUGAGCAACACCCCAGUUUUCUCAGCAUCCUGCAGGAGACUGUAAUGCUCCUAACCCCCGAAUGUGAUGUCUCCUUCAUUCCCUCUGUGGAUGGGGGUGGCCGGGGCGUGGCAAUGGUGACUGCUGUGGCUGCCCGCCUGGCUGCUCACCGGCACCUGCUGGAAGAGACCCUGGCACCUUUCCAAUUGAACCAUGAACAGCUGGCAGCAGUGCAGGCACAGAUGCGGGAGGCCAUGGUCAAGGGGCUCCGAGGGGAGGCAUCAUCCCUCCGCAUGUUGCCCACUUAUGUCCGGGCCACGCCUGAUGGCAGUGAGCGUGGGGACUUCCUGGCCCUGGACCUGGGGGGCACCAACUUCCGGGUUCUCCUGGUGCGUGUGACUGCAGAAGGUGUGAAGAUCACCAACCAGAUCUAUUCCAUCCCAGAGAAUGUGGCCCAGGGCUCUGGACAGCAGCUCUUUGAUCACAUCGUGGACUGCAUUGUGGACUUCCAGCAGAAGCAGGGCCUGAGUGGGCAGAGCCUUCCGCUGGGUUUCACCUUCUCCUUCCCAUGCAGGCAGCUUGGCCUUGAUCAGGGCAUCCUCCUAAAUUGGACAAAGGGUUUCAGUGCGUCAGAUUGUGAGGGUCAAGACAUUGUGUGUCUGCUUCGGGAAGCCAUUGGGCGAAGACAGGCAGUGGAGCUGAAUGUGGUUGCCAUUGUGAAUGACACGGUGGGGACCAUGAUGUCCUGUGGCUAUGAGGAUCCCCGUUGUGAGGUCGGCCUCAUCGUUGGGACUGGCACCAAUGCCUGUUACAUGGAAGAGCUUCGGAAUGUGGCAGCUGUAGCUGGGGACUCAGGGCAGAUGUGCAUCAAUAUGGAGUGGGGUGCCUUUGGGGAUGAUGGGUCUCUGGGCUUACUUAGAACCUGCUUUGAUGCAAGUGUGGACCAGGCAUCCAUCAACCCUGGCAAGCAGAGUUUUGAGAAGAUGAUCAGUGGCAUGUACCUGGGAGAGAUUGUCCGCCACAUUCUUUUGCAUUUGACCAGCCUUGGAGUUCUUUUCCGGGGCCAGCAGACCCAGCGCCUUCAGACCAGGGACAUCUUCAAGACCAAGUUUCUCUCUGAGAUUGAAAGUGACAGUCUAGCUCUGAGGCAGGUCCGAGCCAUCCUGGAAGAUCUGGGGCUGUCCCUGACUUCAGAUGAUGCCCUGAUGGUCCUGGAGGUGUGCCAAGCUGUGUCCCAGCGGGCUGCCCAGCUCUGUGGGGCAGGUGUGGCUGCUGUGGUGGAGAAGAUCCGUGAGAACCGGGGCCUAGAAGAGCUGACUGUGUCCAUAGGGGUGGAUGGGACCCUCUAUAAGCUACACCCCCACUUCUCCAGCCUGGUGGCAGCCACCGUGAGGGAGCUGGCCCCUCGCUGUGUGGUCACCUUCCUGCAGUCAGAAGAUGGGUCCGGCAAAGGUGCAGCCCUGGUCACUGCUGUUGCCUGCCGCCUUGCCCAGAUGGCCCGUGUUUGAAGAAGUCUCCAGGAACUACCCUUAUUGGACCAGGGCCCAGGUUCCACCUAUCCUCAGCCACCCAGGACUCCCAGAAUAGCUCAAGUGUGGCCCUUCUGCGGCCGCUAGCCUUGACCUCUGGCUUUCCCAGAGAGAAGGAGCACUCGGGUACUGUACAAAGUUCCUCCUCCUUAGCCCCAGGGCCCCCAGGUGGCUUUCUCUCUCCCUGCUGCUGCUCCUACAUCCUCUUCAAUCUCCAACCCAAGUCAGAUUGUGAUUGCAUCUGUCUGUCUGCAUCUGCAUCUCUCUCCCUGAAGACUUGGAGGAAGCAGCUAAGCAGUUUCUAGGAGGAGCCCCUGCAGGAGCCUUCCUUUGAAGACUGUGCCAGCCUGGACAAGGGGACAGAGGUGCCACAGGGACUGCCAGGCUGUCCAUCUACCUACACAGGCAUGAAGCUGAGUUCUGGUGGUCCCAAGAGAGGCUGAGGGAGCUCAGGUGAAAAAGCAUGCCUCGUUGGCCUGGGCACAGAAAACUAUGGAACAAAAAGGUGCCAGGUAUGCUAUACCUACCUGACCUGUCACCCAAAAGGCACUGGGUAAGACCAGGGCACUCCCUGCUUAAAACUUUCCCUGACUCCAGCAUAAGGCCCGGCUUCCUGGUCUGGCAUUUAAGGCCCUCACCUCUGGCCCCCACUGCCUUUCCAGCAGCUUUUUCAGCCCAGAGUGUACUGUACACUUGACCAUUCUGAAGCUACUCUCCUGAGCAUACCUCUGCCUGGGUGCCCUACCCUCCUGCUCUGCUCAAGUUUUCCUUCUCUCCAUUGGCCCUGCUCAUCUUUGGGGAUUGCCAUUCUCAGCCACCAUGACUCUGCUCCUGGUUGUUGCUCUGGUUGUUAGUUGUGGUUGUUACCUUGCUGGGUUGGGUAGACCUCCCUGGUUUGGGAGCCAUUGCACACAUGUCCUCUUGUCUGGUGGGUUCACCUCUGUCCCAAUGUCUUGCAGGCAGCAUCAGAAAUGACUGCUUAGUGAGGAGUGGUUCAAGGGGGGAGGACGAGGGACAAGGGCUGCAGAGUUCCUCUGGGAAUGGCAAGGAGUGAUCCUGUUCCACCUUCCUGCUCUUUUAGGACAGGGGUGCCUACAUUAGGAGGGACUUCAGGGGCACGUGACUGGGGAGAGGAAGGAAUUCUAUGACCAAGUCCAAAAGCUUAUGUUUAUGCUCUGGCAUGAACCCUGAGGUGGGUUGGUUGGAAUAUCACUACUUCCCAGAAACUGACGCCCAGGAGAGGGAAGCCAUUGAUGGCAUAUUUACAGCUACUGCUCCCUUCACCAGCUCUAUGCUGCCUCCUGGUACUGGCUGCCAGUGUUGGUGACAGUCCCAGAGAUCCAUGUGUGUGAAUGCUCUCUGUGGCAGAGGUAUACAUACUUACACAUUCAGUGGAUGCUAAUGUCUGGUACUCAGGGCAGUGAGGAAAAACUAGGGGACCUGCUCUCCUAAGGCACUCAGCUCGGUGGGUAGAAAGACAAGUGGAUGGUAGUAAAGGGUGCUGGCGGAGAGCAGGGAGGAGUGGCAGCCCCCCUGCUCCAGAGGGAAUGAAAGGCUGAUGGUCCCUGAGUGCCCACUGUGCGCCUGUCCUUUCUGAGCUUAACUUGGACCAUCUCACCUCAUCAUCCUAGCAACCCUGUGAGGAGGACCUGAGGCCCAGAGAGGGAGAGCUGCCAGGCCAAGACCUGAAUGAGAAGUAGUAGAUAAGUCAGUGAAUGGGGGCAGAGGGACCCAUGUAUGCAAAGGGAAGUCAUAGUGUGCUUGAAGUGCUGAGAGCCCACCGGGACUGCCAUGUGCAGGGAAAGAGUGCAUAGAAGGGUAUGGCACCUGGAUGGGAGGGAACAGACAGGUCACUGUGGCCCUGUCCCAUGGGCUUUGGGGCAUGGGGAGCCCCGAAAAGAGUUCAAGAAGGGGAAGGACAUGAUUAAGUCUGGCUUCACUGGGUGAAUGCUUGUUGCCUUGAACCAGAUGAGAGGUAGGUAUGAUUGCCUGAGCCAAAAAGGUGGUGGGAAAGAGAACUAGGAGGAUGCAGGAACAUUUGAGGAGGAAGAAUGAUGGGAUUGGUGUGUGACUGACUAAAGCUGUUGUAGAGAGCAAGUGAUAAAGAGUUAGGAGGUCAAGGUGACCUCCAGUUUCUGGCUUGAACAACUUGACUCCGCUGUCCCUGAGGUGAGGAAAGCCAGGAAACAGGAGGUUCUGGGGGAGGGUGGGAGACAGUGCUGUUUUAGGCACCACAGGAAUCUGAGGUGCUGUGAGACAUCCAGAUGGAGCUGCCCAGGAGGCAGCUGGGUGUAUGAUUCUGUCGCCCAGGAGAAAUGUGGCUGGGGAUGGAGGAGUGGGAGUUAUCUGCACAGACAUGGCGAUUAAAGCCAUGGAGUAGGCGAGAGUGCUCUGCAAGAGGGUGCCAGGCAGGAGCUCUGAGGAACACCUACAUUAAGGGAAGAAGCACCAGGAGCAGCUGGAGAGGGGCAAGAAAAUCAAGGGCAUGUGGGGUCACCUGACCUGAGGGAAUAGAGAAUUUCAGAGUGAGAACAUCUUCCUCAGAAGAUGACUAUGGAAGGGGUCUAUGGAUUCCCUGUCAUGGACCCUGUCAGUAGGGUUUCCAUGAGGUGGUAGGUGGAUGGCCUCCUGUCUAGGCAUUUGUCCUUUGCCACGUCUCCACUAGUUGGCCAGCUCCUUGGGGCUGGCACCUGUCCUACCUCUGGGCUCAGGGCCCAACAGAGUCUGGCACACACAGGCUGGCUGACCGCAUAAAUGAAUGGACAGUAGUCCUGUGCGGAAAGGUAACAGAAGGGAGACACUCUGACCUCUGUGCUGGCCCCACUGCCAGCCAUGACUGGAUUCUCUCCAAAACCCUAUCCCCUUUCCUUGCUGGCCUGGCUCAGCACUCGGGGUGAGGCUGAGCAGCACAGGACAAACAUCAGAGCUGUCUUGUCCUCCCCUAGGAGGGACACAAAAGCUAAUUUUGCCUCUUAGAGCUCCCCAGGGCACUCUGGGGUCCUUCCCACCUGUAUUAGGGAUCAUCAGCCGGCCCCCGAGGAAGUUGAAGGUCCCAUAGGUCAUGUUGCUGGUGCCGCGGGGAAGGGAGCGGAAGUAGUUCUGAGUAGAGAGGCGGGAAACGAAGUCCUCGGCCUCAGAGGUGGGCGAGCUGUGGUGCAGUGUGUGGCGCCCACCACUCAGUGGGCUGAGCAGGUGCCCAUUGGCGAGCUGGAACUUGGGGCUUGUCCCGUCCUGCCGGGGACACAGACUGCCCUGGCAGGUGGUGGUGGUGGUGCUGAGGUCUGGCUGGAUGGUGAGCAGAUGGGGAUUGUCUGCAAGGGUAAAGAUAGACUCAGGGGGUGGCACUGAGGUGACCUGUUGGGUAAUUCUUGGUGUGGGGGCCUGGCAGGGAUGCUAGGAGUGAGGGGACACCUCACCUGCUUUGCUGGGCUUGAUGCUGACGGGUUGGAAGCCUGAGGUGAGGAUGGACGAAUCAGCCACAUCUGAGUCUAGCCCUUCCUUCUUUCGGCAAUAAACAAGGAUGAGGACAAGCAGCAGCAGGAGGAGGCAUACAGCCACAGCAAUGAGGCCCACAUAGAGGGCCACAUCCUCAGGCCUGGAAGCAGCUGCGGGAAAGAGCGCGGCCUUGGGAGGGGCAGGGUGCAGGAGGCCAGGAAGGAGAGGUCAGCAGUCUACACCCCAGGAGGAUGAGGCGCUCACUCCUUGGGCAUCAGCACUAGCGGGGCUUCGGAUGCUGGUGGCAGGGAGCAUGGAGUCAGCAUGUGCGCAUCUCAGCCCUGCAUCUGCCACCACCUUGCUGUGUCACUCUGGGCAAAUCACAUCUCUCACUGCUCGUUCAGUCUGAGAGGUUGCUGCUACUGGAGGAUGGAAGAGGGGAAGAUACACUUCCCCAGACAGCCCUAUUGAGCUGCUAGGCUGCACCUAUUCUUCUGGGGCCCAGGGCAGCUGGGACUGGGAGGCAGCUCCUGGGAUCUCCAAAGUAGGGGUUCUGCUUCCUGGGGGUGGAGGGGCCUGCUAAUCUGGUUCCUAGCCAUGUCCCUGGGCCAGAAUCACUAUGGGGGUGAUUGCUCGGAGGAAGCUAUAUUGAUUUUAGAAGGGCUUUAUGUAAUGGGAGAAAUGUCCAUCAGAAAGGAAUUGACACAGAUAAUUAGGUUUUUAAUUGAAAGAAUGGGGGAGGGUGUGUUCUAGAGAAAAAAAUCCAACAGAGAUCUUUAAUUGUUAGUUAUGGCCUUGUAAUUAACAGGCCUCACAAGACUGGCAUCCCCACAGGACUUUUGUGUGCACUUCGGGGACUCCGUGGAGGUGAAGCUGCAGAGAGGAGGGGGAUCCAGGCAUCUGGGGUACAUGGGAAAGGUUCACAUGUAUGCAUGUUUCAGCAGAGGUGAGAGAGAUAUUAGGGUAUACAUGGGCACAAGUGUGGGUAUGUUAGGGAUGCGGAGUUCCUGAAGGUCCUAAAUUUUGGAGACCGGGUACAGCCUGUGGCAGGGGACUGACUCCCUUAGCCAUCACCUCCUGGGGCUGGUCAGGGCCAAAACUGGCAAAAUCCAGAGGACUCCUGGGGCAGAGAGGACUCACUGUGCACACAGAGAUCGCUGGUGCAAUUUCGGGUAUCCAGGUCAGUGCCCCGGCACUCCUCGCCUCCAUUGCGGGGUGCUGGGUCAGAACACUCACGACUCCGCCAGUGGGUGCAGUCGAGCCCACAGGCCGACCACUUGCUCCAUGGGCUCCAGCUGCCAUCCACUAGACGAGAGACAGACAGGAACAGAGAGGAGAUGGUGCAGUCAGCCCGAGCAGCAGCCUAGGUAGUUUGCCAGUGCGGCCCUGCUGGGCAUCCAGACCUAGGUGCAAUGCUGUGUGGUAAGGAGCACACCCUCUGGUGUCCAGCUGGCCUAAAUGAUGCAUGCUAAUGACGGGAUGCUGGGCCUGCUUUGUUCUAUCCACACUAUGGGGCCGUCCGGGCCCUGGGGCAACAAGGGUGCUUGGUCACACAUGACGCUGUGAUUCCAGACAUAGGUGGUUCUGUAGCCUCAGGCAGUGCCCUGCCCCUGACCCACUCUGUCUAUACCUGUCCUAAUUGUACCUCAGACUCUCUGACUCAACCCCUCUACCAAAGCCUAGCCUGGACACAGACCAAACCCUGCCCCCAAUCACAUUAAACCCCAUCCCAGCUUUGGACUGA